UAUGCUUGGUCUUACCCAGCAAUUACAGUUGAGUCGGCCACUAUUACUCAUACAAAUCCGCCAGAUUACUUUAAAGAUGGCUGGACGGCGGC
rnacentral:rRNA from 1 species